UACGUAGGGGGCGAGCGUUCUCCGGAAUUAUUGGGCGUAAAGCGCGUGCAGGCGGUCUGCUAAGUUCAUCGCGACAGUUCUCGGCUUAACCGGGAAAGGAUGGUGAAAACUGGCAGGCUUGAGAGCGAGAGAGGGACAUGGAACUCCGGGUGGAGCAGUGAAAUGCGUAGAGAUCCGGAAGAACACCAAGGCGAAGGCAGUGUCCUGGCUCGUAUCUGACGCUCAAGCGCGAAAGCUAGGGGAGCGAACAGG
rnacentral:rRNA from 1 species